AGAUAGUAUCUGUAUUUGGUAUCGAGUAGAGAGAGUUCUGUGUACUCUUGUGUGUCUGCUGCUGGUUUUGGGAUUUUGAUGCUUUUAACAAACUUUUCAUUUUGUGCAUAUACAUGUAUUAUACAUGUAUUAUAGAUAUUUGCUUUUUUUUUUAAUGCGCUCUUCAUAUACAAAGAUUUGACAACUCAUGGCAGUUAUAAAACCUGACUUACACAGCCAUGCAGUGUCCUGCGGUGAGGACCCAGCGAGGACUAAUGAGGACACCACUACAGAUGGGCUUCCCCAGGUAGGACAGGGAUACCACCCAUGGCCAGCGCCCUCUAGUGACCAGGUCUCCGCCUGAGAUAAAUGGAACCAGGAGGCCAGGGCUCCUCCUCCCACACUCUGGGAAAAUUGACCCGUGUCAAACAUUAGAUGUGUUCUUAUGAGAAAGUUUUCACUGACGCAUUAACCUCAGUACUAUAAGUUAGCAGUUAAUACCAGUAUGACAUGAAGUUUUUGAUUACAAUGUCACAAUGACAAAACAAUCAAUGUUGAAAUAAGGGUUGAUAUCUUCCUCAAUAUUUUUUCAAAAUGCUACACUAUGAAGUAACUUUCAAUUAGAGUGUUAAAAUGUUAGUGGUAAUAAAAAUAUAUGUGUACUUAUAUGUUGUGUAACCAAAAAUAAAUAAAUAAAUUGCUACAUAACAUACC
rnacentral:sRNA from 1 species